rnacentral:rRNA from 1 species
CCUACGGGAGGCUGCAGUAGGGAAUCUUCCACAAUGGGCGAAAGCCUGAUGGAGCAACGCCGCGUGGGUGAAGCAGGUCUUCGGAUCGUAAAACCCUGUUGUUAGAGAAGAAAGUGCGUGAGAGUAACUGUUCACGUUUCGACGGUAUCUAACCAGAAAGCCACGGCUAACUACGUGCCAGCAGCCGGGGUAAUACGUAGGUGGCAAGCGUUAUCCGGAUUUAUUUGGCGUAAAGGGAACGCAGGCGGUCUGUUAAGUCUGAUGUGAAAGCCUUCGGCUUAACCGGAGUAGUGCAUUGGAAACUGGGAGACUUGAGUGCAGAAGAGGAGAGUGGAACUCCAUGUGUAGCGGUGAAAUGCGUAGAUAUAUGGAAGAACACCAGUGGCGAAAGCGGCUCUCUGGUCUGUAACUGACGCUGAGGUUCGAAAGCGUGGGUAGCAAACAGGAUUAGAUACCCUAGUAGUC